CACUAGAGCGCAGAGAAGCAGUAAGGCUGGAAAAAAAAAUGGAAGAAGAAGAAAGAAAGGAAGAGAAAGGGAAGAAGAAGAGAGGUGAGAUAAGUACGAAUUGGAGCUCAACCUUGGGGAUUCCUUAAUUUCCGAUUUUAGCAAGGUGGUGAUGAGGAGAUUGGAAAUGUUUAUUAGGCAGUCUAGCUUGUAGCUCGUAGCUCGUACUUUAUUAUCAGAGGUCUUUGGGAUCCACUUUCGUACACACAUAGGCUUUGGGCCGUGUACUAGGGUGAUUAGCCUUUGAGAUAGCUCUGCAUACGUAUGACCAGAUUAUCAUAUGUGAAUGACCUUGCUUUGUACAUCGAGAUUACACUGUAUAUGAGAGACCGCUAAAUUUGAAAUACUUGGGAAAGCCUGCUGAAGUCAAGAGACCGUCUCAUAAUAUGUAAUAUAUGGUUGGGGAUUCAUGUUUACCAAAUACUUUGUUUAAUAUUUUGUUUGAUGUGCACUUCGUAGAAGGAUUUAUAAUUGAUGUAAUGCUGGGAUGUAGAAAUGAUGUUUUGUAGUAGAAGUUCUCAAUCGAAUUUAGUUGUAUUUUGUUUUAGUUA